rnacentral:rRNA from 1 species
CCUACGGGUGGCAGCAGUGGGGGAUAUUGCACAAUGGGGGGAACCCUGAUGCAGCGACGCCGCGUGGGUGAAGGAGCGUUUCGGCGCGUAAAGCCCUAUCGGCAGGGAAGAAGAUGACGGUACCUGACCAAGAAGCCCCGGCUAACUACGUGCCAGCAGCCGCGGUAAGACGUAGGGGGCAAGCGUUAUCCGGAUUUACUGGGGGGAAAGGGGGCGCAGACGGCAAUGCAAGCCAGGAGUGAAAGCCCGGGGCCCAACCCCGGGACUGCUCUUGGAACUGCAUGGCUGGAGCACAGGAGGGGCAGGCGGAAUUCCUAGUGUAGCGGUGAAAUGCGUAGAUAUUAGGAGGAACACCGGUGGCGAAGGCGGCCUGCUGGACUGUGACUGACGUUGAGGCCCGAAGGCGUGGGGAGCGAAAGGGAUUAGAUACCCCAGUAGUC